rnacentral:rRNA from 1 species
AUGUCCCGUCUAUGGUCAAUUACAUGUUUUGGAGUGUGGAAGUCAUUUUUUUUUUCUCGCAAGAGGAGGUUGCUACGAGUGCUAGACCUGGAAGACACAUAUGAUCUCUAUGAUCAUCACCUUAAGCAUAUUGGGAAGCUUCUUCACCUAACAUACCUUUCUCUAAGAGGAUGUGGGUAUAUUUUUUACCUGCCAGAUUCACUGGGCAACCUGAGGCAACUCGAGACACUAGAUGUCAGAGGUACUAGGAUUGUCAAGUUGCCAAAGAGCAUCAUCAAGCUUCAGAAGCUAAACUAUCUUCGAGCUACCACAAUGCCAACUGAGGAUGGUGUGCUAGUUCCAAGAGGGUUGAGGAAACUGAAAGCCCUGCACACAUUGGGUGUUGUGAACAUCGGAACACGAGGGAAGGUUAUUAUACAGGACAUAAAAGGACUCACGCUGUUGCACAAGUUGGGAGUGACUGGCGUCAAUAAGGAAAAAGGCCAGAAGUUGUGUUCAACAAUUGUUGGUCUGAGCCGCCUGGAGUCAUUGUCAAUCCGAUCAGAGGGGGAGCCUGGUUUAUGUGGCUGCUUGGAGGGAAAGUUCUCAUUUCCUGAGACACUGCAGAGCCUCAAGCUUUACGGUAACCUGCUCAAGUUGCCAGAAUGGAUCCAGGGGCUCAAGAAUCUAGGGAAGCUGAAGCUGCGGAGCUCCAUGAUACUAGAGCACGAUGCUUUUCUUUUUUUUGAACCGGGCAUUACCCCUUUCCAUUAA